rnacentral:rRNA from 1 species
GACGAACGCUGGCGGCGUGCUUAACACAUGCAAGUCGAACGAUGAAGAAAAGAAUCGAAGCUUCGGCAGAAAUUCAUUUCGGAUUAGUGGCAGACGGGUGAGUAACGCGUGAGCAACCUACCACUUACAAAGGGAUAGCCUCGGGAAACCGGGAUUAAUACCAUAUAACAUUGCGACGAAGCAUUUCGAUGCAAUCAAAGCUACGGCGGUAAGAGAUGGGCUCGCGUCCCAUUAACCGGAUGGUGAGGUAACGGCUCACCAUAGUGACGAUGGGUAACCGGCCUGAGAGGGUGAACGGUCACACUGGAACUGAGACACGGUCCAGACUCCUACGGGAGGCAGCAGUGGGGAAUAUUGCACAAUGGAGGGAACUCUGAUGCAGCGACGCCGCGUGAGUGAUGAAGGAAUUCGUUUCGUAAAACUCUGUUCUAUGGGAAGAAAAGGACUGUACCAUAGGAGAAAGCUCCGGCUAAAUACGUG